AUUUUAGAUCCUAUGCGUGUAAUUUUGGAAAAGUAUUAUUCAUGCUUUUAUCAAGAAAUUUUUUAUUCAAGGCGUUGACGGAGCAUGGCGAAUUCUCCGAAUACUUGCACCGGUUCAACUGUAAGGAGAGUCCAUCGUGGGUCUGCGACUCGAAUGUCCAGAAUCUGUCUUCGACGUCAGGAGGACGACAAGAGAGCCUGACCUUGAUUAUGACAAGCUGCAUGUAUAAAGUUAAAUUAGACUGAAGCUGACAAAAGACGUAUUUAGUGAAAUUUUCAAAGAUAAAAACAGUAGAGACGAGUUCCUACAGUAUUGCAGAAAAUUAGUAAUAGAGGUAAAUAAUAGAAAUAAGAACUUGAAAUUAUGUUAGGUAAAUAUAGUACUGUUUGUUAUAUUUCCUGUAACAUAUGAUAAUUAUAAGUAAUGAUGUAUGAAUAGUUUUAAGUGAAUAUAUUUUUAUGUAAAAUUUAAAUUCGUUUUAAAUAACAAUAGAAGAUUGCUAUUAGAUGUUAAGUGUACUAUGUAAUAGAUUUUAUCCUCCAUAGUUAAAAUGUAGUAAUUUAUAGUAAUAGUUUUUAAGGAGUAUACAAAAUGUUUAUGUAAUAAUAGUAAUCUCAAUCCAUUGCCUCAAUCCAAUAACAUUUGUAAUCAUACAUUGUAAUAGUUAAAAGACACGGUAUAAUGAAAAACAUAAACAAAAAUUAAGAAAAUAAAUUAAUUAAAAACUUUUAUA